CCGCGGUGCGGAAAUGGACGAUGUUGGCGGCGGUUUGCGGAAAUGGACGAUGUUGGCGGCGGUUUGAUGGACGAUGGCUGCGGUGAAGCGCCCUCUCCUUGCCGCGGUGGAGCGAUGGAUGAUGUUUGUUGAUCUGGGCAGAGAAGCAAUUGAGGAGUGCCGCCGGCGAUGUUGGGAACGCGAUACACUAUUUCAGUGGAGAAGAAAUCGCGGCGUGAGUUGGGUAAUUCCUGACGGUCGAUCCAAGGGUCAAGGCUUCCGGAUGGCAGGACGAAGGGUUAUGCGGAUUGUUCGGAGGCGAGGGUGGGCAUGGAGAGGCGGACGUUCGAUCUAAGGGCUGAUAGCUCCUGUUGGCAGGAGGACCAACG
rnacentral:lncRNA from 1 species